GUGUCAGCAGCCGCGGUAAUACGGAGGAUUCGAGCGUUAUCCGGAUUUAUUGGGUUUAAAGGGUGCGCAGGCGGGCUGUUAAGUCAGCGGUGAAAUUUUGUGGCUCAACCAUAAAACUGCCGUUGAUACUGGCGGUCUUGAGUGACGUCGAGGGAGGCGGAAUGUGACGUGUAGCGGUGAAAUGCUUAGAUAUGUCACAGAACCCCGAUUGCGAAGGCAGCUUCCUAGAGGUCAACUGACGCUCAAGCACGAAAGCAUGGGUAUCAAACAGGAUUAGAUACCCUGGUAGUCCAUGCAGUAAACGAUGAAUGCUCGCCGUAUGCGAUAGAAUGUAUGUGGCCAAGCGAAAGCGUUAAGCAUUCCACCUGGGGAGUACGCCGGCAACGGUGAA
rnacentral:rRNA from 1 species